rnacentral:rRNA from 1 species
GACGAACGCUGGCGGCGUGCUUAACACAUGCAAGUCGAACGGUAAGGCCCUUCGGGGUACACGAGUGGCGAACGGGUGAGUAACACGUGGGUAAUCUGCCCUGCACAUCGGGAUAAGCCUGGGAAACUGGGUCUAAUACCGAAUAGGACCACAGGACACAUGUCCUGUGGUGGAAAGCUUUUGCGGUGUGGGAUGGGCCCGCGGCCUAUCAGCUUGUUGGUGGGGUGAUGGCCUACCAAGGCGACGACGGGUAGCCGGCCUGAGAGGGUGUCCGGCCACACUGGGACUGAGAUACGGCCCAGACUCCGACGGGAGGCAGCAGUGGGGAAUAUUGCACAAUGGGCGAAAGCCUGAUGCAGCGACGCCGCGUGGGGGAUGACGGCCUUCGGGUUGUAAACCUCUUUCACCAUCGACGAAGGUCCGGGUUUUCUCGGGCUGACGGUAGGUGGAGAAGAAGCACCGGCCAACUACGUG